UAACCUGCCCAAGAGAUCGGGAUAACACCUGGAAACAGAUGCUAAUACCGGAUAACAACAGAUGAUGCCUAUCAACUGUUUAAAAGAUGGUUCUGCUAUCACUCUUGGAUGGACCUGCGGUGCAUUAGCUAGUUGGUAGGGUAACGGCCUACCAAGGCGAUGAUGCAUAGCCAGUUGAGAGACUGAUCGGCCACAUUGGGACUGAGACACGGCCCAAACUCCUACGGGAGGCAGCAGAC
rnacentral:rRNA from 1 species